GAAGAGGUUAGCAAUCUCCACAAGCCCAACCAGUUCUAUUUGGCCUGAACCUGAGGUUGGAAUAUGCCACUAGCCAAUUUAGAAGAUGGACAAGUUGAAGAAACGUCACAGGAGCCCAAGAGGCUGGCCAGAGAGCCCAGGACUCAGUUCCUCUGUGGGAAGGCACACACACUCUGGCCUACCUCCAGAAGACUUCCUUCAGCCUGAUGUCUUCCUCAAGACCAGCCAACCCCGAACCAUGAGCUGAUGGGGCCACGUGCAUUUCACAGGUUACUGACUGGGUGGGCUGAAUGAUGGCCCCCAAAGACAGCCAGGUCCUAACCCCUGGAACCUGUGAAUAUUACCCUACAUGGCAAAACGGACUUUGCUGGUGUGACUGAAAGCCCUUGAGUGGGGAGAUUAUCCCGGAUUAUUCAGAUGGAUCUUAAAUGUAAUCACAAGGGUCCUUCUAAAAGAGAGGCAGAGGAAGAUUUUACUACAGAAGACAAACAAAGCCAUAUGACAAAGGAAGCAGACAGAGAGAGAGAUUUGGAAAUGCUAUGCUGCUGGCUUUGAAGAUGGGUAAGAGGCCAAGAGCCAAAGAAUGCAAACACUGCAGCUCUGGAUGCUAGAAAGGGCAAGGAAAUGUAGAGCCCCUGCAGGCUCUGCUUACCCCUUAAUUUUGGCCCAGUGAAACUGAUUUCAGAUUUCUGAUCUGCAGAACUGAAAGAGAAUAAAUGUGUGUUGCUUUCAGCCACCAAGUUUGUGGCAAUUUGUUACAGCAGCCACAGGACGCUAAUACAUGACCCUUUACUCUCUGACUCUUGUACUCAGCACUUGGGAUCAAACAGUGAACCCGAUAAACCUCUACACCUCCCAGGGAAAUUGACCAUCUCUCUGUCUCUGGAUUUUAAAAAGGAACAGCCACGUAGACAUUUUAUCAAAGAUAUAUGAAUGGUCAAUAAACACAUGAAAAGAAAAUGCACAAAAUCAUUAGCAUUAGGGCAAUGAAAAUUAAAACCACAAUGAGAUACCACUUCAUACUCACUAGGAUGGCUAUAAUAAAAGACAAUAACAAAUGUCAAAAGUGUGGAAGAACUAUAAUUUUCAUAUAUUGCUGAUGAGAUUGUAACAUGGUACAACUGACUUGGAAAAUAGUUUGGUAGUUUGUUUGGUUUUUUGAGACGGAGUCUUGCUCUGUCGGCCAGGCUGGCGUGCAGUGGUGCAAUUUCGGCUCACUGCAACCUCUGCCUUUCAGGUUCAA
rnacentral:lncRNA from 1 species